AUUGCACUUUCUCUGUCUUGCAGCUUAUCAAAAAGCAAGGUUUUAACCAUUAGUAGGAAAUAGAAAUAAUGUGGUUCACCAAACUGAACCAUACUAUUUGUUUUUUGUUAUGAUCAAAACCGACUUUCAGGUUUAUCUGCAUUUGCCAUUGCUCUUCCAUGGUAGUUGAUAGACUCUGCACAAUGUGAAACUGGCUUCUAGGGCCAGGGCCUCCAGGGGAAAGAAGAAUAGUGGAAGGAAAGUAAUUUUGUUCGUUAAUCUUGUUUUAUUUACAUUGCUAUUUAUAGUGAUUCCUAGUAACAGAAUUGUCCCUUCUUGCUUACAGGAAUGUUACAAAUAACAAAAUUUGUUAUGUUUGUUCCCUAUUGGCAAACAAGUAUUAUCCUAGCAAGAUCACACUACCAGCACAGCACAACCAUUCUUUCUCAUAUGAAAUCCGUAAGGUGGAAGUUUCAGAGGUGUUAACCUAGUUGAGAUCGUUUUAUCUUCCAACUUGUUGGUUUCACCCUUUUUUGCCUUAAAAAAAACACUAGCACCUGAAAAAUCGUUGAUUCCACACAAAGAAUCGUGAUUGUUUAAUGAUCGCAAGAAGACCCCUCCCCUGUCUCAUUUCAGAGGAACCAAAUCUGUCUAGCAAAUCUCCUCCCCCCUGAUUAGCCGUAGCAGGUUUUCAAGGAUUGAAUAUGUAAUUGAUCUAAAGAUAGAAAAUUGAUGUGUUUUAAA